UCCUUGAGGCCGCAAGGCGGAUGGGAUGGAUGGCCGAAGGAUGAGCGGCAAGCGGGUGAGUAACGCGUGGGUCAUCUGCCCUCGAGUGGGGGAUAACGACCCGAAAGGGUCGCUAAUACCGCAUAAGCCCACAGCCCCGAAAGGGGUGGUGGGAGAAGCCGGGGAUCCUUGCGAAAGCGAGGACCUGGCGCUUGAGGAUGAGCCCGCGUCCCAUCAGCUAGUUGGUAGGGUAACGGCCUACCAAGGCGAUGACGGGUAGCUGGCCUGAGAGGGUGGUCAGCCACACUGGGACUGAGACACUGCCCAGGCUCCUACGGGAGGCUGCAGUCGAGGAUAUUUUCCAAUGGGCGCAAGCCUGAGAAUGCGACGCCGCGUGCGGGAUGAAGGCCCUCGGGUCGUAAACCGCUGUCAGGCCGGAAGAAUACCUGUUCCGUGAACAACGGGAUCGGUUGACGGUACGGUCGAAGGAAGCCACGGCCAACUCCGUGCCAGCAGCCGCGGUAAUACGGAGGUGGCGAGCGUUGCUCGGAUUCAUUGGGUGUAAAGGGUCGGUAGGCGGGCUGGUAAGUACUCGGUGAAAUUCCACGGCUCAACCGUGGAGCGCCCGGGUAGACUGCCGGUCUUGAGGGCUGGAGGGGCAAGCGGAAUUCCCGGUGUAAGGGUGAAAUCUGUAGAGAUCGGGAGGAACACCAGUGGCGAAGGCGGCUUGCUGGACAGCACCUGACGCUGAGCGACGAAAGCGUGGGGAGCAAACAGGAUUAGAUACCCUGGUAGUCCACGCUGUAAACGUUGAGGACUAGGUGCCGGCUCGGUAGAGUCGGUGUCGCAGGUAACCCACUAAGUCCUCCACCUGGGGGAGUACGUCCGCAAGGAUGAAACUCAAAGGAAUUGACGGGGGCCCGCACAAGCGGUGGAACAUGUGGUUCAAUUCGAUGCUACGC
rnacentral:rRNA from 1 species